CCAGCACUUUGGGAGGCCAAGGCAGGUGGAUCAUUUGAGGUCAGGAGUUUGAGAGCACCCUGGCCAACAUGGUGAAAACCCUGUCUCUAUUAAAAAUACAAAAAUUAGAUAGGUGUGGUGGUACACACCUGUAAUCCCAGCUACUCAGGAGGCUGAGGCAGGAGAAUUGCUUGAACCUGUGAGGAGGAGGUUGCAGUGAGCUGAGAUCGUGCCACUGCACUCCAGCCUGGGUAACAGAGCAAGACUCUGUCUCAAAAAAAAAAAAAAA
rnacentral:lncRNA from 1 species